rnacentral:rRNA from 1 species
UACGUAGGGGGCUAGCGUUGUCCGGAUUUAUUGGGCGUAAAGAGCGUGUAGGCGGCCGGGUAAGUCCGAUGUGAAAGCUCCCGGCUUAACUGGGAAAUUGCAUCGGAAACUGAUCGGCUGGAAGGUGGGAGAGGGUAGCGGAAUUCCCGGUGUAGUGGUGAAAUGCGUAGAUAUCGGGAGGAACACCAGUGGCGAAAGCGGCUACCUGGCCCAUUCUUGACGCUGAGGCGCGAAAGCUAGGGGAGCAAACGGG